rnacentral:lncRNA from 1 species
UCUCAACCACUGGUUUCCAGAAGAAAAAUAGAAUUUACUAUAUCAUGAACAGUGUAAUCCAAAAACAUUCUAUCUUAGGAUACACCAUAUGAAUUUAGGAUGCUUCGGUGAGGUAUAGAGCGGAUCUAAGCCACAGCUCGAUUGGCAAGCAUGAUGUUGUUCUUAUUCCUCGGAAUGUUCAAGUCUCCUUAUGAAUCCCACAAAAAAAAAUUCAAAAGCCUUAAGAUUUACAAUCACUAAUUAUAGUGAUUAAUUACAUGGAAUUAUUGUAGAGUCAUGAACAUACAAAAACCCUUAAAAUAUAUAUAUUUACGAGGUACUGGCGUUGCCACCGGGGCAGGUUUAUUAACGAAAUACUCAACCAUUAUCACACCCUUGUUCUUCUGGGCUGCCGUGUAGCAUUCAAUAGUUUCCCUUGUAUAACAAGAAGCUUGUGCACUUGAAAGCUGUUGUUGAAACGUUGAAUGCAGAGGCAUCUUUGCCUUAGGAACUGGGCCUAUAUAUGCUCUCCUCCAACAUAUUGGAAGGCUUCAAUUCCAAUCUCUGCAAGCUUGUUUGGAGGAACCAUUCUCAAGCAGUCUUCCUCUCUAUUCUUCUAGUAAUCAAAAACCUGUCUGCUGUUACUAGUGCUUGUCGUCGCAAUACCUAUGGAGCAUAACCCUUUUAUAGCAUAAGCUUAGUUCCUCUUUUUUCACAUUAUCAUGAGACAUGCAUUCUCCUCCUGUCUCUCCCCCCAAAUUGCUGGAAAAUGUAAGAGAUGCAUUGGUCAGAUUUGCAUUCAGUGGACACUUCUAACUAUCUUUACUUUCUAGAGCGGCACAUGUCUCUCUGCUGCCAGUGUAUGUUUGAAUUUUAAAUUCAAAAAACAAAAACACUAAAGGAGCUUAGGAUUACACUGUUGCCUAUUAUAAUUUUUUUCCCAUUCUUUAUAAAAACCAACGACAUAGCUGAUGGGAUAAAAUCAUCUUUUUU